rnacentral:rRNA from 1 species
GUGCCAGCAGCCGCGGUAAUACGGAGGGGGCCAGCGUUGUUCGGAAUCAUUGGGCGUAAAGGGCGCGUAGGCGGCUCGGCAAGUCAGACGUGAAAUCCCGCGGCUCAACCGCGGAACUGCGUUUGAAACUGCCGGGCUUGAGUCCCGGAGAGGGUAGUGGAAUUCCCAGUGUAGCGGUGAAAUGCGUAGAUACUGGGAGGAACACCGGUGGCGAAGGCGGCUACCUGGACGGGUACUGACGCUGAGGCGCGAAAGCGUGGGGAGCAAACAGGAUUAGAAACCCUUGUAGUCC